rnacentral:rRNA from 1 species
CACGUAGGGCGCAAGCGUUGUCCGGAAUUACUGGGCGUAAAGCGCACGUAGGCGGAUCCUUAAGUCGGUGGUGAAAUCCUGAAGCUCAACUUCAGAACUGCCUUCGAUACUGGGGACCUUGAGUUCGGGAGAGGUGAGUGGAACUGCGAGUGUAGAGGUGAAAUUCGUAGAUAUUCGCAAGAACACCAGUGGCGAAGGCGGCUCACUGGCCCGAUACUGACGCUGAGGUGCGAAAGCGUGGGGAGCAAACAGG